UGAGUUUGAUCCUGGCUCAGGAUGAACGCUGGCUGUGUGCCUUAUACAUGCAUGUCAAGCGAGACACUUUUGUGUCUAGCGGCGAAUGGGUGAGUAACACGUACUUAACCUACCCUUUAGAUUGGGACAACAGUUGGAAACGACUGCUAAUACCGAAUACGCUAUUUGUUGGCAUCAACGAAUAAUGAAAGAUGCGUUUGCAUCGCUAAAGAAUGGGAGUGCGGUACAUUAGGUAGUUGGUAGAGUAAAGGCCUACCAAGCCGAUGAUGUAUAGCGGGGUUGAGAAGCUGAUCCGCCACACUGGGACUGAGAUACGGCCCAGACUUCUACGGAAGGCAGCAGUAGGGAAUUUUCCACAAUGAGCGAAAGCUUGAUGGAGCAACACAGCGUGCAGGAUGAAGCCCUUUGGGGUGUAAACUGCUGUUAUAAGGGAAGAAAUGCCUAAAUAGGAAAUGAUUUAGGUUUGACGGUACCUUAUUAGAAAGCACCGGCAAACUAUGUGCCAGCAGCCGCGGUAAUACAUAGGGUGCAAGCGUUAUCCGGAAUUAUUGGGCGUAAAGCGUUCGUAGGUGGUUUAUUAAGUCUGAAGUUAAAUCCCUGGGCUCAACCCAGGUUCGCUUUGGAUACUGAUAGACUAGAGUUAUAGAGAGGUUAGUGGAACUCCAUGUGAAGCGGUGGAAUGCGUANAUAUAUGGAAGAACACCAMYCSRYGAMGRMAGCWMWMUSGSKMUAUAYUSWCMCYKWRGGRCCAAARSSUGGGGAGCAAACAGGAUUAAAUACCCUGGUAGUCCACGCCGUAAACGAUGUUCAUUAGUCGGUGGAAAAAUUCNCUNACGCAGCUAACGCNUUAAACGANCCGCCUNAGUAGUAUGCUCGCAAGAGUGAAACUUAAAGGAAUUGACGGGGACCCGCNCAAGCGGAGGAGCAUGUGGUUUAAUUUGAAGAUACGCGGAGAACCUUACCCUCUCUUGACAUCCCUUGCGAAGACUUAGAGAUAAGUUGGAGGUUAACAAGGUGACAGAUGGUGCAUGGUUGUCGUCAGCUCGUGUCGUGAGAUGUUCGGUUAAGUCCGGCAACGAGCGCAACCCCUGUCCUUAGUUACUAACAUUAAGUUGAGCACUCUGAGGAGACUGCCUAGGCAACUAGGAGGAAGGUGGGGACGACGUCAAAUCAUCAUGCCUCUUACGAGAGGGGCUACACACGUGCUACAAAAAANANUACAAAGNGAUGCAACCCGGCGACGGUGAGCUAACCUCAAAAAACCAUUCUCAGUUCGGAUCGAAGUCUGCAACUCGACUUCGUGAAGUCGGAUUCGCUAGUAAUCGUAGGUCAGCAAUACUACGGUGAAUACGUUCUCGGGUCUUGUACACACCGCCCGUCACACCAUGGGAGUUGGUAAUGCCCGAAGCUGGAUAGUUAACUUCGGAUGCUACUGUCUAAGGCAGGACCGAUGACUGGGGGGGAGUCGUAACNAAAUAANCAAAUCACUAGNGCGGCCGNGGGNGGUCAUNNNNGGUAANAGCUCCCAACGCUGGAUCUGUCUNUUU
rnacentral:rRNA from 1 species